UUAUCGGAGAGUUUGAUCCUGGCUCAGGACGAACGCUGGCGGCGUGCCUAAUACAUGCAAGUCGAGCGGACAGAUGGGAGCUUGCUCCCUGAUGUUAGCGGCGGACGGG
rnacentral:rRNA from 3 species